AGAGGUCACUGCAGGGCAAUUCCAGGUAGCAACAGGUUUGUGGGAUUUCAUAGGGGUGGGGUGUAAGCCUAGAUAUGAUGGUGACAGAUAGAUAGAUCCAGCUGGUGAACAGGUUACAUAUCUCAGGUCGGUGUAUUUGAUCUAUUGCUACCAACAAAUCUCAUGAGGUCUGUUUAAAGUAACAGCCUGCAUCAGAGCCGGGCAGCUGUCUGGAUGCCUCUCCCUUCCCCACGUGCCAUCCAGUCUCACUCUCCUUCAGCUUCUCCAACACUCUCAUCACCUUCGCACGUGGAUGGGAAUGCCGUCAUCUCUGCUUCCCUCCAACACCGUUACGGUAUCUGCAUUCCAGCAGGCCCCUGGUGAGAUCUCCCUCUAGGUGACAUCGCCUCAUGAAAUCUCAGGGAGAGGUGGAAGGGGAGACGGGGAGCCUGCUGUGAAAUAGGCUCUUAUCAGGGAGGAGGCAGAGAGAGAGAGGAGU